UAAUACGAAGGGAGCUAGCGUUGUUCGGAAUUACUGGGCGUAAAGCGCGCGUAGGCGGAUAUUUAAGUCAGGGGUGAAAUCCCGAGGCUCAACCUCGGAACUGCCUCUGAUACUGGAUGUCUUGAGUUCGAGAGAGGUAAGUGGAAUUCCGAGUGUAGAGGUGAAAUUCGUAGAUAUUCGGAGGAACACCAGAGGCGAAGGCGGCUUACUGGCUCGAUACUGACGCUGAGGCGCGAAAGCGUGGGGAGCAAACAGGAUUAGAUACCCUGGUAGUCCACGCAGUAAACGAUGAAUGUUAGUCGUCGGGUAGCUAGUCUAUUCGGUGAUGCAGCUAACGCAUUAAACAUUCCGCCUGGGGAGUACGGUCGCAAGAUUA
rnacentral:rRNA from 1 species